rnacentral:tRNA from 1 species
GUAGAUAUGAUGGAAUUGGAAGACAUAUUAAAUUUAGGUUUUAACGGGAUUUUACCGUGAGGGUUCGAGUCCCUCUAUCUACA